rnacentral:piRNA from 1 species
AUCGGAAAGCACGUCCGCGCACGACCGA